GACGUAGGGCGCGAGCGUUGUCCGGAUUUAUUGGGCGUAAAGAGCUCGUAGGCGGCUUGUCGCGUCGUCCGUGAAAACCUGCGGCUCAACUGCAGGCUGGCGGUCGAUACGGGCAUCACUGGAGUUCGGCAGGGGAGACUGGAAUUCCUGGUGUAGCGGUGAAAUGCGCAGAUAUCAGGAGGAACACCGGUGGCGAAGGCGGUUCUCUGGGCAUGUCCUGACGCUGAGGAGCGAAAGUGUGGGGAGCGAACAGG
rnacentral:rRNA from 1 species